rnacentral:rRNA from 1 species
UACGAAGGGGGCUAGCGUUGCUCGGAAUUACUGGGCGUAAAGCGCGUGUAGGCGGCUUAUUAAGUCGGACGUGAAAUCCCUUGGCUCAACCAAGGAACUGCGUCCGAUACUGCUAGGCUUGAGUGUCGGAGGGGGUGGCGGAAUUCCUGGUGUAGAGGUGAAAUUCGUAGAUAUCAGGAGGAACACCUGUGGCGAAGGCGGCCACCUGGAAGACAACUGACGCUGAGACGCGAAAGCGUGGGGAGCAAACAGG